UGGGGAAUAUUGCACAAUGGGCGCAAGCCUGAUGCAGCCAUGCCGCGUGUGUGAAGAAGGCCUUCGGGUUGUAAAGCACUUUCAGCGGGGAGGAAGGCGAUAAGGUUAAUAACCUUGUCGAUUGACGUUACCCGCAGAAGAAGCACCGGCUAACUCCGUGCCAGCAGCCGCGGUAAUACGGAGGGUGCAAGCGUUAAUCGGAAUUACUGGGCGUAAAGCGCACGCAGGCGGUCUGUCAAGUCGGAUGUGAAAUCCCCGGGCUCAACCUGGGAACUGCAUUCGAAACUGGCAGGCUAGAGUCUUGUAGAGGGGGGUAGAAUUCCAGGUGUAGCGGUGAAAUGCGUAGAGAUCUGGAGGAAUACCGGUGGCGAAGGCGGCCCCCUGGACAAAGACUGACGCUCAGGUGCGAAAGCGUGGGGGAGCAAACAGGAUUAGAUACCCUGGUAGUCCACGCCGUAAACGAUGUCGAUUUGNAGGUUGUGCCCUUGAGGCGUGGCUUCCGGAGCUAACGCGUUAAAUCGACCGCCUGGGGAGUACGGCCGCAAGNUA
rnacentral:rRNA from 1 species